ACCGGAUGGCCCAUCCGCUUUUCGGAGCGGCUGGAAAAGGUAGCUUCGGCCUCUGGCCGAGGACGAGCUCGCGGCCGAUUAGCUUGUUGGUGGGGUAAUGGCUCACCAAGGCUCCGAUCGGUAGCUGGUCUGAGAGGACGAUCAGCCACACUGGGACUGAGACACGGCCCAGACUCCUACGGGAGGCAGCAGUGGGGAAUCUUGCGCAAUAGGGGAAACCCUGACGCAGCGACGCCGCGUGCGGGAAGAAGGCCUUCGGGUUGUAAACCGCUUUCAGGAGGGACGAAGCUACUCGGGUGAAUAGCCCAGAGGGUGACGGUACCUCCAGAAGAAGCCCCGGCUAACUACGUGCCAGCAGCCGCGGUAAUACGUAGGGGGCAAGCGUUGUCCGGAUUUAUUGGGCGUAAAGAGCGUGUAGGCGGCCAGGCAGGUCCGUUGUGAAAACUCGAGGCUCAACCUCGAGACGUCGAUGGAAACCGUCUGGCUAGAGUCCGGAAGAGGAGAGUGGAAUUCCUGGUGUAGCGGUGAAAUGCGCAGAUAUCAGGAAGAACACCUAUGGCGAAGGCAGCUCUCUGGGACGGUACUGACGCUGAGACGCG
rnacentral:rRNA from 1 species